CCCCACUGCUAUCGGGAUAGGACUAAGACAUGCUAGUCGAGCGCUUCAAGCCAAAAAGAGGCGCGGCAUACAGCUCAGUAACACGUGGCUAAUCUGCCCUUGGGAUAGGAAUAACCCCGGGAAACUGGGGCUAAUUCCCAAUAGGCGAAGAACUCUGGAAUGAGUCUUUACCAGAAAAGACGCUUGCGUUAUGCUCGUAGGCGUCGCCCAAGGAUGAGGCCGCGACCGAUCAGGUUGUUGGUGAGGUAAUGGCUCACCAAGCCUUUUACCGGUGCGGGCCGUGAGAGCGGGAGCCCGGAGAUGGGCACUGAGACAAGGGCCCAGGCCCUACGGGGCGCAGCAGUCGCGAAAACUUUGCAAUAAGCGAAAGCUUGACAGGGCUAUCCCGAGUGCCAUCCGCUGAGGAAGGCUUUUACCCAGUCUAGAACGCUGGGGGAAUAAGGAGAGGGCAAGUCUGGUGUCAGCCGCCGCGGUAAUACCAGCUCUCCGAGUGGUGUGGAUGUUUA
rnacentral:rRNA from 1 species